rnacentral:tRNA from 1 species
AGAUGUUAAAUAGAUAUUACUAUGUUUGGUUACGGUCCAAAAAGAUAAACGUCUU